GACGUAGGGCGCGAGCGUUGUCCGGAUUUAUUGGGCGUAAAGAGCUCGUAGGCGGCUUGUCGCGUCGUCCGUGAAAACCCACAGCUCAACUGUGGGCUUGCGGUCGAUACGGGCAGGCUAGAGUUCGGUAGGGGAGACUGGAAUUCCUGGUGUAGCGGUGAAAUGCGCAGAUAUCAGGAGGAACGACCGAGUGGCGAAGGCAGAUCUCUGGGCCGUAACUGACGCUGAGGAGCGGAAAGCAUGGGGAGCGAAACAGG
rnacentral:rRNA from 1 species